ensembl:lncRNA
CUGAUAAUUACCAUCUCAUACAUCAGUUUUCUCUCCCUGGUAAUAUAAUAGCGCAGCUAAUUUCCUGAGAGCUAUUACCCCCAGUACAGACCAACACACAGACAGUGUGAGGCUGACUGACAGCUCCAGUCCCAACCAGGCGAUGGGAGAAUUACUUGCUUGGCUGUGGUGCAUCCAACAGCGUGCCCUGAUCCCACAGAGCAGCCCUGGGCGGGAACCACACAAGAUAUUUUUUGGGGCCAGGAGGGACCAUUAGAUCAUCCGUUCUGGCCUCCUGCACAACACAUGCCGCAGAAUCUCAUCCAAAAAGCUUGUACUCUUAAGGGUCUGCAGCCUCGGUGUAUGAUAUCAAAACUGAAAUCAGGCCCAGCAGUGUUCUCCGCUAAACUGGGCCAAGAAGCAUAAUAAAGAUUUGGCCUUGCUAUAAAAAUGUGCCGUGCUGUACUGCUACUCUGCUUAUUCCAUGCUGGCUUCCGGGCUUCUAAUAAAGGAACAGGCAUUGGGCAAAGCACCCAGGGU